rnacentral:pre_miRNA from 1 species
GUUCCCUUCAACUUUAACAUGGGAGUGCUUUCUGUCUUAUUUAAGAAAGAGUAAGUGCUUCUCUGUUUUAGUAGAAGU